rnacentral:rRNA from 1 species
AUUGAACGCUGGCGGCAUGCCUUACACAUGCAAGUCGAACGGCAGCACGGGUGCUUACACCUGGUGGCGAGUGGCGAACGGGUGAGUAAUACAUCGGAACGUACCUUAUCGUGGGGGAUAACGCAGCGAAAGCUGUGCUAAUACCGCAUACGCCCUGAGGGGGAAAGCGGGGGAUCGCAAGACCUCGCGCGAUUAGAGCGGCCGAUGCCUGAUUAGCUUGUUGGUGGGGUAAAAGCCCACCAAGGCGACGAUCAGUAGCUGGUCUGAGAGGACGAUCAGCCACACUGGGACUGAGACACGGCCCAGACUCCUACGGGAGGCAGCAGUGGGGAAUUUUGGACAAUGGGGGAAACCCUGAUCCAGCAAUGCCGCGUGAGUGAAGAAGGCCUUCGGGUUGUAAAGCUCUUUUGUCAGGGAAGAAACACCGGCUCUAACACAGUCUGGGAAUGACGGUACCUGAAGAAUAAGCACCGGCUAACUACGUGCCAGCCGCCGCCGUAA